AUGACUACACUGCUAAUAGCACCCAGGGAACGGCGGAGGAAGCAACCCCGCCCCGGGCUCGCCAUGGGGCUCCACCAGCGGGACGACGCCGGGGGAAGCAGCGACAAGGGGAAGGCCGCGCUCUGCGAUGACGGCGCGGAGCCGGGGGCGCCCGCGCACGCGACCGGCCGCGUGCCGCCGUGGACGGAGCAGCUGACGCUGCGCGGCCUGGUGGUGAGCGUGGCCGUCGGCACCAUGUACAGCGUCAUCGUGAUGAAGCUCAACCUCACCACGGGCCUCAACCCCACCCUCAACGUCUCCGCCGCGCUCAUCUCCUUCGUCAUGCUCCGGGGCUGGACGCAGGCGCUGGCCCGCCUGGGCCGCGUCGUCCGCCCGCUCACCCGCCAGGAGAACACCGUCGUGCAGACCUGCGCCGUCGCCUGCUACAGCAUCGGCGCCGCCGGUGGGUUCGGGUCCUACCUGCUCGGGCUCAACAAGAAGACCUACGAGAUGGCCGGGGUGGACAUGGAAGGCAACGUGGGCACCAAGGAGCCCGGCGUUGGGUGGAUGAUGGGCUUCCUCUUCGCCGUCGCCUUCGUCGGGAUUCUCGCGCUUGUCCCUCUCAGGAAGAUUUUGGUGAUCGACUACAAAUUAACUUACCCAAGCGGAACUGCAACUGCCGUGCUUAUAAAUGGAUUUCAUGCGUCCAAGGGAGAUGAUGUGGCAAAGAUGCAAGUGAAUGGAUUCACAAAAUACUUUGCAAUUAGCUUCUUCUGGAGCUUCUUCCAGUGGUUUUAUUCUGGUGGAGAUCAUUGUGGCUUUUCGCAAUUCCCCACUCUUGGACUACGAGCUUGGAAACAUUCGUUCUUCUUUGAUUUCAAUCUCACAUAUGUUGGGGCAGGGAUGAUUUGCCCCCACCUUGUGAAUAUAUCUCUCCUUCUUGGCUCUAUUCUCUCCUGGGGCGUAAUGUGGCCACUGAUUGCUGAUUUGAAAGGGAACUGGUAUCCGGCAGAAUUACCAGAAAGCAGCAUGAGAAGUCUGCAAGGUUACAAGGCCUUCAUUUGCAUAGCUCUCAUCCUAGGAGACGGCAUAUACAAUUUUACAAAGAUUAUUCUUAAGACCGUCAUGAGUAUGCUUGACAAAUCAAAACAGAAAAACGCAAAGAAUGGGGAAGAUACUCUGUCACUCGUUGAACAACAUCGCAAUGAAGUGUUUAUAAGAGACAGUCUCCCUAACUGGCUAGCCUUUUUGGGUUACUUUGCAUUAUCGGUCGUUGCUGUAAUCACUAUUCCCAGGAUGUUCCCUGAGUUGAAGUGGUACUAUGCUGUUGUAGCAUACCUAUUGGCUCCUGCUCUGGGUUUCUCCAAUGCCUAUGGAUCCGGUCUUACCGACAUCAACAUGGCCUUCAACUAUGGAAAAGUUGCCCUCCUCAUUCUUGCGGCCGCAGCUGGGAAAGAACAUGGCGUGGUUGCUGGGAUGGUAGGCUGUGGCAUGGUGAAGUGUAUGACGUCGAUAUCUGCUGAUCUGAUGCAGGACUUCAAAACUGGGCAUCUUACAUUAACAUCACCUAGAUCAAUGCUUAUCGCCCAGAUCAUCGGCACCGCCAUUGGUUGUGUCAUCUCACCGCUGACAUUCUAUGUGUUCUACAAUGCCUUUGACAUAGGCAACCAGGACAGCCCCUGGAAGGCGCCGUAUGCUCUGAUAUACCGAAACAUCGCGAUUCUUGGUGUGGAGGGCUUCUCUGCUCUGCCCAUGCAUUGCUUGCAGCUCUGCUGUGGAUUCUUUGCCUUUGCACUGGUGGCCAACCUGAUGAGGGAUUUCCUUCCACAGAAGUAUGGCAAAUGGGUCCCCUUGCCCAUGGCAAUGGGGUUCCCCUUCCUUGUCGGCGCGAGCUUCGCCAUCGACAUGUGUGCCGGGAGCUUGAUAGUCUACAUCUGGCACAAGAUUGACAGGAGCAAAGCAGCACAUAUGGUGCCAGCAGUUGCCUCCGGUUUUAUAUGUGGGGAUGGACUUUGGAUCUUCCCAGCUUCCUUGCUUGCGUUGGCCAAGAUCACCCCACCAAUGUGCAUGGCAUUUGCUUCUACACACUAG
rnacentral:rRNA from 1 species